AGGACGAACGCUGGCGGCGUGCUUAACACAUGCAAGUCGAGCGGAAAGGCCCUUCGGGGUACUCGAGCGGCGAACGGGUGAGUAACACGUGAGCAACCUGCCCUUAGCUUCGGGAUAGCUCCGGGAAACCGGAAUUAAUACCGAAUAUGACUUUGGCUGACAUCAGCAGAAGUGGAAAGUUUUUCGGCUAGGGAUGGACUCACGGCCUAUCAGCUAGUUGGUGAGGUAACGGCCCACCAAGGCGACGACGGGUA
rnacentral:rRNA from 1 species